GAGUUAGGUGACCAAGUGGAGUUUGAAUUAAUGUGUUAUUUGUAUAAGAAGCAUUGGGGAGCAGAUCAGGCAAGUCUCUAAACUGUGCUGGAAGGCAGGAGCAGAAGCAGCGUGGACUAGGAAUGUAAGCCUGGACAGGACAACAGAGCACAGAGCUGUGAAGGAAGUGGCUUGGUGGAGAUGGAGCCCUGCAAGGAACCGUCAGUGAAAGAAGCUUGUUGGGGUAGGGGGCCUGCUGGACAUGAAAGAGAACGUGGCCUUUGGAGUGGAGCUCGCUACCUAGAUUGGACCCAAGCCAUGCCACAAGGAGAAGGUCCUGAGCCACCAAAGUAAUGGCAUCAUGACACAUACUUCCCACAAGAUGCUGGAGGUUUGGGAAAUCUCCCCAAACUGCUG